AGGGGAAGGCCGGAUCCUGGGCUGUGUCCCGGCGCCCUGUGCUCCAGGGCCUGCGCUGUUGGAUUUCCGCUCCUGGACAGGAAGCCCCCU
rnacentral:pre_miRNA from 1 species